CUGGUCUAAUAGUUCCUGAACCAUCCUAUCUAUAACAUUUUUUUGCAUGGGAAAAUACCUAUAAAGCCUGUGAUUCGGUGUUGUGGCCCCAUAUAAAGGUAUAUAAUGAUCAAACAUUACCCUAGAAGGAGGUAAUUUCAUAGGCUCUCCAAAUAAAUCAUAAUAGUCAUGCAAAAUAGCUUGAACCAUCUUGUCUUCUGUGCUUAAGCUUCUCGCUGAUUGCUUCACAGGGCUGGAAGUAUAGGCUUUAAUCAUAAAUAACUGGACCUGGUCAGCUGACCCCUUUGGGACAGAAUUAUAGUCAAUUAUCUUAAAAUUGGGAGUUGACCCUUUCAAUGAGAGCAGUUUGCCGUGAUGUUAAAACUCUAUUGUCAGCAACUUGAAAUUGAACUUGAUAUCACCUAAUUCAUAAAGCCACUGAACUCUUAAGACCAUGUCAUAAAAACCUAAGGGAAAUAGUAAAAAACCAGCCUUAAAGGUCGUGCCCUGCAAUAACCGCUCUAAACCUUUACAAACCUUGUUAAUUUGCACUGAGUUACCAUUUGCUAAGAUCACACAGAUAGGUUUACAUUGUUUCAUGGGCCACCCCAUUCGAGAAACCAAAUCACAAUCCAAAAUGUUAUAAGUGAAGCCACUGUCCACAGAAUGUUCAAUUGCCUCUUGUUACAAUACCCAGUCACUCGUAGCGUUCGAUGCCCCACUGUACCAUGAAGAGCAUUGAAGAAAAUUUCAAGGCUCCAGUAAAGCCUCUAAUAGAAUUGGAUCUUCUUCUGCUUGCUCUUCAGGAUCUACCUCCCCAAUCUCUAAUAAGAACAAUUGACCCCUGUGCUUACAAAUAUGACCUGGUUGGAAUGGUUCAUCACAUAGAUAACAAUGUCCUUUAUCCCUCUUAUCAAUAAGUUCCGCAAGGGUUAAUCUAUGUCUCCUAUUUCUAUUAUCAGAGAGUCAUGGAAAGUGAGUAUUGGGUUAGCUAAUAGCUCAGAAAGGCGGGUAAGUGAGUGUAGAAGAUGUGGUUUUGGAGUGUUGAGGAUAAGUAAAAGAACACUUCAAAGUUUUUGAUUGCUUAAGAUAAACCGACUCUUGCAUUCUUACUAGGUAGUAGGUAUAGGGUAGAGAGUAAGGUUUAUAGAUCCAAACUGCAUCACUGAGCUCAGGUUUGAUAGAAUUUAGAAAUAUGCUAAUAGCAUGAUUAGAAUCUAAGUUGAUAUAUAAAAAAUUUCCUGAAAUUCAGCCACACCACUUGUUUGUUUUAACUUCAACAAUUCCGACAUGGGAUCAUCAUACUCUAUACCAAACCGGUCUGAUAAAGCCCUCAAGUACUCAUCCCAAGAUGAAAAUGAAAGAGGGCCUCUACUCCGCAUAUAAGCUUGAUGCUAUUGGAGGGCUUUGUCAUCAAAAUGAAUAACUGCUAUGGUGACCCUUUGGUGUGGAGGUACUUUAUCUAGAGAGAAAAAUUGAUCAAUCCUAUACCACCAAUCCUGAAAUCCUUUCCCAUUAAACAUAGGAAAUUCUACUCUCGACAACCUGGUUAAGCCAUGAUUAAGGGUUAGGGGAGGUAGGGGAGACUUUGGGGGUAGUAAUAACUAUUCUGAAGUGGUUAUUGAGGGAUGGGGAUAGUUUGAUAAGGAGAUGUAAUGGAAUGCGUUGGGGAAGAAAAGUAAGGAUUGAAGAAGCUCAGAACUGGACCUGUACAAGGAGGAACGUGAUGGGUUGAGAAGGGUGGUGCAGGCAUCGAUGGACCAGUUUCUUGAAAAGAUGUAACAGUAUUGGAUUUUAAGUUUGGAAUAUGGGUUACUAUUGUAUUAGGAAUUUUGAAAAAAGUUGAAUUGGAAUUGAAGGGAGCAGGUGAAGAGAAUUGGGGAGUAGGACUCAAAAGGGAAUGGGGUAAAUGUGAAAGUAUAGUUGUAUGGGGCAACCCUGAUAAAUUCCCAGAGUCGACGGUCGGAGAAUAGAGCUCAAUAGGAUCCAAGGUCGACUAUGAUUUAGUCUGCCUUCCCUCGAGGGGAAUGUGUGAACUCAGAGCUUCCUUCAAUUCGUGAAAGGAAGUUUCAUGUACAACUUCUAACUGAUCUUGUCUUUGCUCCAUUCGAUCCAACCGAUCUAAGACUUUCUUAAUUUCACCAUCCAUGGUAACAAGCCACAGAGCCAGGACAGUGCUCUAAUACCACUGAUAGAUAAUAGGC
rnacentral:lncRNA from 1 species